AGAAUAUACAAAUUUAUAGCCAAAAUCCGACGAUGAAAAGCGACAAUCUACGAGCUACAGCAGGAAGCAGACCAAAUUUAGCAGAAUUCACUUGCUAACGAAUAUUUUCACCGCAACUGGGCGUUUUUAUAAAUAAUUUAUAUGCAGAUGUGUAUAAAUAAAUCUGUUGAAUGUUGAAAAGGAUGGAAUUGGAUUUGGAAAUCGAAGUCGGUGUGAUAGAUAUUGUAAGCAAUAUGAAAAUGCGAAAUGAGAGCGGCUCUUCAUUUUUCUAUUCAUUUUACAACAAGGAAAUGGAUUCGCUUUAGUAGCGAGGUGAUACAGAGAAUUAUAAUUGGAAGACAAGAAACCAAAUUCAGGUUUUUUUUUGAAUAUUUCUGUUCUAGGUUCAGUUUUAAACAUGUUUCCACAAAAUAAAUAAACCUCAUGAUAUGAAACUAAA